CUUGUCUCAAAGAUUAAGCCAUGCAAGUGUCAGUUCAUGCCAAACUAAGGUGAAACCGCGAAAGGCUCAUUAAAUCAGUUACAGUUUACUUGAUGGCAUGACGUUACCGUUACUUGGAUAACUGUGGCAAUUCUAGAGCUAAUACAUGCACUCGAGUCUCGACCGCGUUAGCGCGCGGAAGGGAUGCUUUUAUUAGAUCAAAACCAAUCGGGAAAUCGGAUUCGCGUCCGACGUACCGUACAGUCUUGGUGACUCUGGAUAAAUUGUCGCUGAUCGCAAGGUCUUCGCGCCUGCGACGCAUCUUUCAAAUGUCUGACUUAUCAACUAUCGACGGUAUGCCACGUGCCUACCGUGGUGGUAACGGGUAACGGGGAAUCAGGGUUCGAUUCCGGAGAGGGAGCCUGCGAAACAGCUACCACAUCCAAGGAAGGCAGCAGGCGCGCAAAUUACCCACUCCCGGCACGGGGAGGUAGUGACGAAAAAUAACGAUACGGGACUCAUCCGAGGCCCCGUAAUCGGAAUGAGUAUACUCUAAAUCCUUAUACGAGUAUCAAUUGGAGGGCAAGUCUGGUGCCAGCAGCCGCGGUAAUUCCAGCUCCAAUAGCGUAUAUUAAAGUUGUUGCGGUUAAAAAGCUCGUAGUUGGAUCUGUGUCCCGCACCGUCGGUUCACCGCCUGUCGGUGUUCAACUGGUGUGUAUGCGGGACGUCCUGCCGGUGGCGGUCCGGUUCCCCGUGGGUACGUAGGGGCGUCCUUGCUUACGCUUGCGUCGUCCCCGAAGGCCUGCGCGGUGUAUCCGGCCGCCUUUUCAAUCCCGUCGCGGUGCUCUUCACUGAGUGUCGAGGCGGGCCGGCACGUUUACUUUGAACAAAUUAGAGUGCUUUAAGCAGGCCCUGUCCCGCCUGUAUGUUGUGUGCAUGGAAUAAUGGAAUAGGACCUCGGUUCUAUUUUGUUGGUUUUCGGAAUCUGAGGUAAUGAUCAAUGGGGACAGGCGGGGGCAUUCGUAUUGCGACGUUAGAGGUGAAAUUCUUGGAUCGUCGCAAGACGGACCGAAGCGAAAGCAUUUGCCAAGUAUGUUCUCGUCGAUCAAGAACGAAAGUUAGAGGUUCGAAGGCGAUCAGAUACCGCCCUAGUUCUAACCAUAAACUAUGCCUGCCAGCGAUCCGCCGAAGUUCCUCCGAUGACUCGGCGGGCAGCUUCCGGGAAACCAGAGCUUUUGGGUUCCGGGGGAAGUAUGGUUGCAAAGCUGAAACUUAAAGGAAUUGACGGAAGGGCACCACCAGGAGUGGAGCCUGCGGCUUAAUUUGACUCAACACGGGAAAACUCACCAGGCCCGGACACCGGAAGGAUUGACAGAUUGAGAGCUCUUUCUUGAUUCAGUGGGUGGUGGUGCAUGGCCGUUCUUAGUUGGUGGAGCGAUUUGUCUGGUUAAUUCCGAUAACGAACGAGACUCUAGCCUGCUAAAUAGGCGAAAAAAUUCGGUCCGUUAACAGCGGGUCGAAGUCCGGUAUGCAGCCUACCGGCGAUUGGAAAUAACUCUUCUUAGAGGGACAAGCGGCAUCUAGCCGCGCGAGAUUGAGCAAUAACAGGUCUGUGAUGCCCUUAGAUGUUCUGGGCCGCACGCGUGCUACACUGAAGGAAUCAACGUGUCGGACGAUCCUCGGCCGAAAGGUCCGGGCAACCCGUUGAACCUCCUUCGUGCUAGGGAUUGGGGAUUGCAAUUGUUUCCCAUGAACGAGGAAUUCCCAGUAAGCGCGAGUCAUAAGCUCGCGUUGAUUACGUCCCUGCCCUUUGUACACACCGCCCGUCGCUACUACCGAUUGAACGAUUUAGUGAGGUCUUCGGACUUGCACGCGGGCGUCCGGCGCAUUCUGUAAAGAAUCGUCGGAUUGCCCGCAGUCGCGAGGAAGACGAUCGAACUUGAUCGUUUAGAGGAAGUAAAAGUCGUAACAAGGUUUCCGUA
rnacentral:rRNA from 1 species